rnacentral:rRNA from 1 species
UAUAGAGGGUGCAAGCGUUAAUCGGAAUUACUGGGCGUAAAGCGCACGUAGGCGGUUGGUUAAGUUGGAUGUGGAAGCCCCGGGCUCAACCUGGGAAUUGCAUUCAAAACUGGCCAACUAGAAUACGGGAGGGGGGGGUAGAAUUCCAAGUGUAGCGGUGAAAUGCGUAGAGAUUUGGAGGAAUACCAGUGGCGAAGGCGGCCCUCUGGCCCGAUAUUGACGCUGAGGUGCGAAAGCGUGGGGAGCAAACAGG